rnacentral:tRNA from 1 species
ACUUGCUUGGUGGAAUGGUAGACACGGCAGACUUAAAAUCUGCUUCGGCCUCUAACGUCGAUUAUCGGUUCAAGUCCGAUAGCAAGUA